CGGCUGGCGGCGUGCCUAAUACAUGCAAGUCGAGCGGACCGACGGGAGCUUGCUCCCUUAGGUCAGCGGCGGACGGGUGAGUAACACGUGGGUAACCUGCCUGUAAGACUGGGAUAACUCCGGGAAACCGGGGCUAAUACCGGAUGCUUGAUUGAACCGCAUGGUUCAAUCAUAAAAGGUGGCUUUUAGCUACCACUUACAGAUGGACCCGCGGCGCAUUAGCUAGUUGGUGAGGUAACGGCUCACCAAGGCGACGAUGCGUAGCCGACCUGAGAGGGUGAUCGGCCACACUGGGACUGAGACACGGCCCAGACUCCUACGGGAGGCAGCAGUAGGGAAUCUUCCGCAAUGGACGAAAGUCUGACGGAGCAACGCCGCGUGAAGUGAUGAAGGUUUUCGGAUCGUAAAACUCUGUUGUUAGGGAAGAACAAGUACCGUUCGAAUAGGGCGGCACCUUGACGGUACCUAACCAGAAAGCCACGGCUAACUACGUGCCAGCAGCAGC
rnacentral:rRNA from 1 species